rnacentral:rRNA from 1 species
GACAGAGGUGCCGAGCGUUAGGCGGAAUCACUGGGCUUAAAGCGUGUGUAGGCGGGUCUGUAAGUGCCUUUUGAAAUCCCACGGCUCAACCGUGGAACUGCUUGGUAUACUGCGGGUCUUGAGCCACCUAGGGGCAAGUGGAACAAACGGUGGAGCGGUGAAAUGCGUAGAUAUCGUUUGGAACGCCAAUGGUGAAAACAACUUGCUGGGGGUGUGCUGACGCUGAGACACGAAAGCCAGGGGAGCAAACGGG